GAUGAACGCUGGCGGCGUGCCUAAUACAUGCAAGUCGAGCGAACGGACGAGAAGCUUGCUUCUCUGAUGUUAGCGGCGGACGGGUGAGUAACACGUGGAUAACCCACCUAUAAGACUGGGAUAACUUCGGGAAACCGGAGCUAAUCCCGGAUAAUAUUUUGAACCGCAUGGUUCAAAAGUGAAAGACGGUCUUGCUGUCACUUAUAGAUGCAUCCGCGCUGCAUUAGCUAGUUGGUAAGGUAACGGCUUACCAAGGCAACGAUGCAUAGCCGACCUGAGAGGGUGAUCGGCCACACGGGAACUGAGACACGGUCCAGAGUCCUACGGGAGGCAGCAGUAGGGAAUCUUCCGCAAUGGGCGAAAGCCUGACGGAGCAACGCCGCGUGAGUGAUGAAGGUCUUCGGAUCGUAAAACUCUGUUAUUAGGGAAGAACAGAUGUGUAAGUAACUGUGCACAGCUUGACGGUACCUAAUCAGAAAGCCACGGCUAACUACGUG
rnacentral:rRNA from 1 species